rnacentral:lncRNA from 1 species
AAAUCAAUGAAAUUUUAACACAAGGUUUAUGACCACAAAAGGAAGGUUGGGAUUGAUUUUGGGAGUUUUGGUCCCAAAAUUUUAGGAAUUAGGGGCCAAAAAGGGCCCAAAUAAGCAUUUUCUCGGUUUUCGCACUAUAACUUUAGUUUAAGUGAAUAGAAAUCUAUGAAAUUUUGACACAAAAUUUAUGACCACAAAAGGACGGUUGGGAAUGAUUUUGGGAGUUUUGGUUCCAACAGUUUAGGAAUUAAGGGCCAAAAAAAGGGCCCAAAUAAGCAUUAUUCUUGGUUUUCGCACAAUAACUUUAGUAUAAGUAAAUAGAAAUCAAUGAAAUUUAAACACAAGGUUAAUGACCACAAAAGAAAGGUUGGGAUUGAUUUUUGGAGUUGAGGUCACAACAGUUUAUGAAUUAGGGGCCAAAAAGGGGCCCAAAUAAGCAUUAUUUUUGAAUA